rnacentral:sRNA from 1 species
GAGCAUCGUAGCCACUACAGUCGGAAGC